GCCAAUUACUAGUAUAUUAGCGGACAAUGAAAGUGAUAGGCUUAGCAGUGACAAACCAUCUAAGUUGCAGGUGAUUUUAAUUAGUUUGAUCAUAAUUUGAUCAUAAUCAUUCCACAUGAAAAAGUUGUUUGGUCUGUCUUGUAAUUAAAAACUAACAUAAAUGAAUAUAACAGCAGCUUUUUGGCCUCUGCCUCAUAGAAUCUCUCAUUCCCUUUUAAGGCAAGGAGUUGCACACUUGCAGCUUUUGGCCUUGAAUUUGUUGCCAUUGAUCUAGUUUUGUUUUAAGUUGCUGUGGUUGCAAUGAAGCAGUUGGGGGUUAUGUGAUUAUGGAGAUGCAGGUAUGUGCCGUGUGUGGCUGCAAAAUGAGAGUGAUGUAAAGAAGGAAAAGAGAGAAAUAGGGAGAGUUUUUUAGAAAGGAAUUUUAAGCUUCAUUUUUUUAACUAUUGCAACUCUGUUUUUUUUCCCCCUUUUUAAUGUUUCAACUUUCAACUAAUUAAUACUGCCACAUGCAGAUUUUGUAACGCAUGACAAUGUUCUAAGAUUGAAAUGGUUUUCAUGGUUGACUGUGAAUUUUUCAAAAUGUUGUUGUAAGACAUGAAGAAUGUUAUAUUCACGAGUCAAG
rnacentral:misc_RNA from 1 species